GCCACCUUGGCUAAGUGGUUACGGCGCUCCGCUUGUAUCUCCAUGGAGAAGAGACGGAGAGAUCACUCGUUCGAUCCGGGUAGGUGGCA